CAGCGCCUUGGACCUCUGCGUGCAAGGUCGACGGCGCCCUUGCGUGGCGGGAGCGGCGGUGCGGGACGCUGCCCGGCUCCGUGUCGCUGCGGGCUGUGAUGGGCGUUGCCAUCCCCCGCCUUGCCUCAUAGACUGCGGGAUGAGAGAUCCUGUGUGUUAGACUAUAGCAGGGCUUCAGUAGUCUUCCCUCAUGGCUGCUGCGGAGUACGAAGCUGUUACAGCACAAUGACACCAAGAAACGGGCAGUAAGUCACAAAGAGACCUCUCUGACGUUGCAAAGACACACAUGCCCGAACAGUUCAACGGGGGCCACUUUCCCUCGUUUUGUUUUGCCCACUGUGAGGAGCAAAAGCACUGCUGUCUCUGGGAUCCCGCUUGGUGGUUUAUUCUGUCUAUUCUGCACGAAAGGAGCCGUCACUGAAUGUUUUCAGCUAAAAUUUAUUGUACUCUUACAAGUGUAAUAAAAUAUGGACAUACA